ACUUAAGGGACCUCUCCUCUGAUGAAAGGACUUCUUCCGGUUGAUGAAUUUUCUGAACUUUCGCACGAGAAGAGCCUCAUCAUCAUCUCCCUCAUUAUCUUCUUCUUCGCUGCUGCUACUGCAAGAUAAAUCCUUGUUAGACAAAGUAGAUUUGAGGGCUAUUACCUUUUUCUUAUGUGAGGAUUCUUUUUCGCUGUGUUGUUUCAUUGUGAGCUCGUGUGUCAUCAGGGAUCCAAGAAGCUCCUCAAGCGGAAGUUUGCUCAAGUCCUUGGCUUCUUGGAUUGCCGUUACCUUGGCCUCCCAUGACCUUGGCAAACAUCGAAGAAUCUUUCUGACAAGGUCACUGUUAGUAUAGUUUUUGCCAAG
rnacentral:lncRNA from 1 species